GGAAGAUGGAGUUUCGAGUCAAUACUUAAUCAAGGCAAUUGCGAAUGCUAGCAAGGUUCCAGGAACUUUUGUUCCAGACUUGACUGAAUCAGAAGUUCCAGAUGAAUAUGAAAAGAAUUUUGAUGAAGAGGAAGAGCUAAAGCAACUUCUCAGUGGGAUUAUAUGCUUCAAAGUGUAUCCUUUCUCAAGUGACUCGUCUAAUGUAGAGAGGAAAAUAAUCCUGUCUGGUUCCUUUAAUCCAUUGCAUGAUGGUCACCUUAAGCUCUUGGAAAUUGCGACCAGUAUAUGCGGUGGUGGAUAUCCAUGUUUUGAGUUGUCAGCUGUCAAUGCAGACAAACCUCCAUUGGAAAUACCUCAAAUCAAUGAUCGUGUUAUACAAUUUGAAAAAGUUGGAAAGACGGUCAUAGUGUCUAACCAGCCAUAUUUUUACAAGAAAGCAGAACUUUUCCCUGGGAGUGCUUUUGUCAUUGGUGCAGACACAGUUGCAAGACUUGUACAUCCAAAGUACUAUGGUAAUGACUAUGGAAAGAUGUUGGAGAUACUUCUGGGAUGUAAAAACACGGGAUGUACUUUCCUAGUGGGUGGUCGGAAUGUUAAUGGAAUUUUCAAGGUUCUUGAGGAUUUCGACAUCCCAGCAGAGCUAAAAGACAUGUUUGUGCCUAUACCAGUCGAGAAAUUCCGUAUGGAUAUAUCAUCCACUGAAAUUCGAAAGACUCAAGGACUCUUGUAAGCCCAUUUGCAUUAUUUUCACUCAGGUAUCUGCAUUGGUUCCGUUUAAACAAUUAGUUCUAUCUAUGUAACAUGAAAAUAAGCGCCAAAAAGGAAAAAAACCGAAAGCUUAUCCAUUUUCAUCGUUUGCUCUUUCCAGUCUCAACAGAACUGAGAAUGUGUGGAAUUGUUGUUCUCUGAUUUGAGUUUCCUUACUAACA
rnacentral:misc_RNA from 1 species